rnacentral:rRNA from 1 species
GACGAACGCUGGCGGCGUGCUUAACACAUGCAAGUCGAACGCUGAAGCUUGGUGCUUGCACUGGGUGGAUGAGUGGCGAACGGGUGAGUAAUACGUGAGUAACCUGCCCUUGACUCUGGGAUAAGCCUGGGAAACUGGGUCUAAUACUGGAUACGACAUGUCACCGCAUGGUGGUGUGUGGAAAGGGUUUUACUGGUUUUGGAUGGGCUCACGGCCUAUCAGCUUGUUGGUGGGGUAAUGGCUCACCAAGGCGACGACGGGUAGCCGGCCUGAGAGGGUGACCGGCCACACUGGGACUGGGACACGGCCCAGACUCCUACGGGAGGCAGCAGUGGGGAAUAUUGCACAAUGGGCGGAAGCCUGAUGCAGCGACGCCGCGUGAGGGAUGACGGCCUUCGGGUUGUAAACCUCUUUCAGCACGGAAGAAGCGAAAGUGACGGUACGUGCAGAAGAAGCGCCGGCUAACUACGUG